UGUUGGUUCUCCCGCAACGCUACUCUGUUUACCAGGUCAGGUCCGGAAGGAAGCAGCCAAGGCUGAUGACGCGUGUGCCGGGAUGUAGCUGGCAGGG
rnacentral:SRP_RNA from 4 species